rnacentral:rRNA from 1 species
AUGCCUACAUUUGAGAUGGGAAUAGUUUUUAGAGGAAGACAUCAAAUGAAGAAAGCUCUAAUAAAAUAUGGCAUUAAGAAGCAUAUUCAUAUUACUUUCACAAAGGAUGAAAAUCAUAAAGUUGGUGCAAAGUGUACUUGGCCAGGUUGCAACUGGAUGAUCUAUGCUUCUAAAACUAGUCGAAAUAAGUGGCUACAGGUGUUUACCUUUGUAGAUGAGCACCAUUGCAUUCCAAGAAGAGAUAACAAUCUUGUCAUAUCAUCUGUUAUUGCUACAAAAUAUGGCGGGCUUAUAAGAGCAAAUCCAAGUUGA